GGCUCAGUAGCUCAGUGGUAGAGCGAGGGACUCAUAAGCCCGAGGUCACAGGUUCAAAUCUUGUCUGAGCCA
rnacentral:tRNA from 1 species